rnacentral:lncRNA from 10 species
AGAAGGAACAGCACGGGCAUAGAUGUGGGCACAUGAAAUAGCUGGAGUGUCUAGGAAGGAAGAGUGGAGUAGUAGGUCGGUGGUAGUGGGAGAUGAGGCCUGAGAGGUUCACAGAGAGUCCUCUAGGAAGAGCCAAGGAAUUUGGGCUUUGUUCUAUGGGUGAUCUCCACUCAUCACCCAUCCAGCCCACCAAGGGCAUAGCCAUCCUGGCCUGCCAAGGGCAUUCUAUAUAGUUUGAUCAUCUAGGGGACAGUGCGGGGUGAGUCUGGGAAGAGGCCCCAGUCUGUGGCAUCCCCAAGCCAUGAGCUGCAGCUACAGCUGAGAUCAAUUGAAGCCGGUUGAUCAAAACAAUGACAGGCACAUCCUGCCCAUCCCUGGCAGUGUGGCCUCA